CAGUCGCCGCGGGAAUACGGAGGGUGCAAGCGUUAAUCGGAAUUACUGGGCGUAAAGCGUGCGUAGGCGGUUCGUUAAGUCUGUUGUGAAAGCCCCGGGCUCAACCUGGGAAUGGCAAUGGAUACUGGCGAGCUAGAGUGUGUCAGAGGAUGGUGGAAUUCCCGGUGUAGCGGUGAAACGCGUAGAGAUCGGGAGGAACAUCAGUGGCGAAGGCGGCCAUCUGGGACAACACUGACGCUGAGGCACGAAAGCGUGGGGAGCAAACAGGAUUAGAGACCCCCGUAGUCCCUGUCUCUUAUAC
rnacentral:rRNA from 1 species